GAUAGCUCAAUUGGUAGAGCAUGAGAUUCUUAAUCCCAGGGCCAUGAGUUCGAGCCCCAUGUUGGGCA